GAUGAAGAACGUAGCGAAAUGCGAUAAGUAAUGUGAAUUGCAGAAUUCAGUGAAUCAUCGAAUCUUUGAACGCACAUUGCGCCCGCCAGUAUUCUGGCGGGCAUGCCUGUUCGAGCGUCAUUACAACCCUCAAGCCCCCCGGCUUGGUGUUGGGGACCGGCCACCGGUGCCCUGCUGCUUCCGCGGCAGGCGCGCCCGGCCGCCCCCGAAAUGAAUUGGCGGCCCCGUCGCGGCCUCCCUCUGCGUAGUAGCACACAUCUCGCAGCUGGAGCGCGGCGCGGCCACUGCCGUAAAACGCACCAACUUUUUUUUACAGUUGACCUCGAAUCAGGUAGGAAUACCCGCUGAACUUAAGCAUAUCAAUAAGCCGGAGGA
rnacentral:misc_RNA from 1 species